GUCCGUAUCGAUUAGUGGUCAAAUCAUCUCGUUGUGGUGAAGACUUUCAAGCCUACAAGCGCUCCGAGAAGCCGCAGGCUCGAAUCCUGCUACGGACA